rnacentral:rRNA from 1 species
CCGGACCGGCACGGGUGAGUAACGCGUAUCCAACCUGCCCUUUACUAUGGGACAGCCCGUCGAAAGGCGGAUUAAUACCGUAUGUUGUCAUGUUGAUGCAUAUUUUCAUGACCAAAGGCUUCGGCCGGUAAAGGAUGGGGAUGCGUCUGAUUAGCUUGCCGGCGGGGUAACGGCCCACCGGGGCGACGAUCAGUAGGGGUUCUGAGAGGAAGGUCCCCCACAUUGGAACUGAGACACGGUCCAAACUCCUACGGAAGGCAGCAG